ACGGGAGGCAGCAGUGGGGAAUAUUGCACAAUGGGGGAAACCCUGAUGCAGCGACGCCGCGUGAGUGAAGAAGUAUUUCGGUAUGUAAAGCUCUAUCAGCAGGGAAGAAAAUGACGGUACCUGACUAAGAAGCCCCGGCUAACUACGUGCCAGCAGCCGCGGUAAUACGUAGGAGGCAAGCGUUAUCCGGAUUUACUGGGUGUAAAGGGAGCGUAGACGGUCGAGCAAGUCAGAAGUGAAAGCCCGGGGCUCAACCGCGGGACUGCUUUUGAAACUGUUCGACUAGAGUGCUGGAGAGGUAAGUGGAAUUCCUAGUGUAGCGGUGAAAUGCGUAGAUAUUAGGAGGAACACCAGUGGCGAAGGCGGCUUACUGGACAGUAACUGACGUUGAGGCUCGAAAGCGUGGGGAGCAAACAGGAUUAGAUACCCUGGUA
rnacentral:rRNA from 1 species